CGAGCCGGCCGGGCGGCCGCGUGGGAUCGUUUUCGGUCCCCCGAGGAACGUCCGGGCUCCACACGGCAGGGUGGUGGGUAACGCCCACCCGGGGUGACCCGCGGGACAGUGCCACAGAAAACAGACCGCCGGAGGCCGCAAGGCGUCCGGUAAGGGUGAAACGGUGGUGUAAGAGACCACCAGCGACCGGGGUGACCCGGCCGGCUAGGUAAACCCCACCCGGAGCAAGGUCAAGAGGGGACACCCCGGUGUCCCUGCGCGGACGAUCGAGGGCUGCCCGCCCGAGUCCGCGGGUAGACCGCACGAGCCUGCCGGCAACGGCAGGCCUAGAUGGAUGGCCGCCUCCCCGAGGGCCGCAAGGCCCCCGGGAGACAGAACCCGGCGUAUAGGUCGACUCGUCCG
rnacentral:RNase_P_RNA from 1 species